rnacentral:rRNA from 1 species
AUGACUGUUUGCAAAAGAUGGAGAGCCUACAAAUCUCGCUUGAAGAAAAAAUAUUUCAAACGGAAAGAGAGAUCUCUCCAGGAAAUUAUUAGUGAUGUUCCAAUAGGUGUUAAUAAGCAUCAACGGGAGAUUCUAGUUGGAAUGUGGUGCCAGGAUUCACACAUGAAGUUAUGCGAGAAAAACUCAGAGUGUGUGAAGCAACAGAAGAAUCCACACACAACCGGGAGAAAAAGCCAUGUCAGGCUACAAAAAGAGAUGGAAAUCAAAAGGAAAGCACCGGUCCACAAGAUUGACCUAUGGGAUGAAGCUCAUAAGAAAAAAGAUGGCAAUUACACAAGCGAGAAUGUGAAGACAAUAAUGGUACGUUCUACUUAUUUUGUCUACAGUCCAACAUACAAUCUAUUCCAUAGUAUAGUAAUGAAUUAA